AACUACAAAUAAUCUCUCCCCCAAUUUCGCCUUCUAUUUUUUGGAAACCAAAUCACCCUCUAUCUUUCCAGCUCUCUGUAAGAAACCCUACAUCAACACGGUUUAUAUAAGUCUAUCACCACCAUUGCGUUGAUGGUUCUUCCUCUAUAUCGAUCGAUGGCUCUUCUUAGAUGAUGAAGAAUCCUACAUGUGUAAGGCCUAAUUUCUAGGGUUUUCUUUGAUUUUGUUAAGGUUUGCUUUUUUGUAUUUAUACUUUGACUCCCAUUGCUAAACCAAUUAAUUUAUUAGGUAUUUUUUUGUUGUUCGACUUCUUUCAUGGAUUUUCUUCAGGUCGGAAUUUGAUUGUGUGUUCUUGUGAAUUAUGAAGCUGUUAAAAGUAGUGUUCUAUGUCGAUUAACAAGGGUAAAGUUUUGAUUUUGGUUUUAUCUGGUGUUAUAGUGGUUAAAGGAGAUGCAACCAUUGUUGCCUUUUUUUUUAGUAGAAAAGGGCAAAGUUAAAAUGAUUUUAUGGAUGUAUGUUAUUGUUUUGACCAUAAAACAUGGCAGGAAAGUAUGGUUGUGGCAGGGGAGGGGAGGGGUAUAUUGGUCAUUGCAAAGUAGAGAGUGAAUUGUGUGCAUAUGAUUAUAUAUUUGUGUGUGGCAGUGGCAAAAAUGUUUUGAACAAUUUGAUUUGUCAAUCCAAUUGGGAUGUUAAUAUAAAAAUAGGUGGAAUUCGGGAGUACUGUGAAUGUGGUAUUUUGUUUCUAAGGUUUUAUAAUUAUACAUGCAUAAACAUUUUUCAUUUUGCUUUUAAGUAUUGAAUAUUCUUCUUCUNUUGCUUUUAAGUAUUGAAUAUUUCUUCUUCUCAUGGAGCAGGGAUACUUUUACAUUAAGUUCUAUCAAGCAGCAAGCCUCUAGAUGUGAAGCUAAAGUUAUAAACAUGAACCUCACUUCGAAGAGAAAUUAGAAGGUACCCUUAUCAAUUUGUUGUUAGGGUAUUCAUGCCAUAAAAUUGUUCUACAUGAUUACAAUAAUAAGUUAACCUCCAUAUAUAAUAAGGAUUAUACAUUUUCUUCUUUCGAUUAACCACAUUUAUCUGAUUAGGGUCUUUGCAUGCCGGUACCAAAAACUGAUGCCUUACCACUUGGCUAUACUCCAUGCGGCCUGUUUUGGACGGUAGAACGGGGAGAGGGGGAAGGGGGAAGCAGGGCUCGAAGAACGAGUCAAGCCGUGCAAGGACGUGUUGGUUGAUCAUAUAUUUCGUUAGAGUUCUAUUAUUCAGAGUAUCCUUUCGUAUUUGAUCCCUUUGAAUUCCAUAUUCGCUUUAUAAAAGAGAGAGAGCCUUGUCUUGAGAGUGAAAAGAAAAGGCAAGCGAUAGAAAGGAUAGUCCCUUGCGCGUUCGCGAGAACUACCCGAAUAUGGUGAGAUCAUUAGUGAAAGAAGGACCAACGACGAUCCUAUCCUAAAUGAGAAGCAUUUAAGAUACAUGUAUAAUGAAUGCCUCUUAUAAAACAUAAUUUCUAAAAUUUAAAUUUUACAGCAUGCAAAAUCAUGGUGUGUACAUGUUGAAUGGAUCAAAUGUAAAAGUUGAGAUGUAUUUGUUUAUAAAGAUUAGCCUGUAUCGGUUCUAAAGUUUGGAUAUGUUUAAAAACACAAUGAAGGUGCAAUCAUUAUGAGAAGGUUUAUGAUCAUUUCCAACUUUAAAUCCAAUAGUUCUUAUUCCCCAACUUCCCCCCAUUUACAGAUUUUUCUAUUAUACUUUUAGGAAAUUUGGUCUUAGUUUAAGGUAUCAUUAAUAAAGAAUUUGGUCUUAGUUUAAGGUAUCAUUAAUAAAGGUUGUUUAUAGAAAUUAGGAGAUUUUUUUGUGAUGGUGGUGGUUCUUAUUUGUUUUCUGUAUUACCUACACUACAUAUUUAUGUGUGUAUUCUAUCACGAAUUGAG
rnacentral:lncRNA from 1 species